rnacentral:misc_RNA from 1 species
ACCUACUUCAUGGGUGGAUUGUGAUUUUUUGUUGGGACUAUUUUGUAUAUAUAUGUUUAGGGAGAUUCAUGAUUGAUUAUUGGGUUAUAGAUAUAUUCUUUUAAUCUUGAUAUUCUUGGUCAGUUGAUAGCCAUUUUUGGUAAAUUUGACAAUCUUGGUAAACUUGAUAAUUAACGUUAGAAGCAUACUGCUCACUACUGUGUUUUCAUCGGGUUAUCUUGGGCUUAAUAAGCCAUGUUUUCAAGGGAGACUUUGUCAGUUUUUCAAGUUUUAUCAAACUUCAGCCAGCCCCACUCUUGCUAUAUCAUAACCUUAAGCAACUUAAAAUCUCCAGCAAAUUGAAAAUAAAGCGACUACAUAUUAUGCAGACACAAAUGUAACAGGAGACUUACAGGGAAAAAGCGAUCAAUGUGG